AAAGCAGCUGAGAGCUUCUGUUGACAGAUGGAUGCCUUCCUAAUCACAGGCUGCAGGAGAGGGGAGCCUCGCCCUGCUCAAUUCUGACACUGAUUCACAGACCUGGACAGACCGUUCUGCAGGAGGCUGGGGAAGCCCAUCUCAGGGCUCAUUGCUUUUUCCCUUCCACACCUCUCACUGGACAGCCAUGGCUCUAAGAAGAGGUCAAAGUGAACAGAGAGAAAAAUUGGCCAAUGGGUGACUAUAUACCUCAGUGUUAACCUGUCAGCACCGGUGAACACAGCAGCUUACAUCCGGGACCUCAGCAUGGGACAAAGGAGAACAAGGGUGCGACAGUGAACUCAAAAUGUCCAGAAACAUUGAGAGCAAGGGCUGGCUAAAUGCAUGACUGCUGUGGCCCGGAACAUCUGAAUGGCCUAUCCUAAAUGAGUUACACACACAGCUACUACCCUUUCUUCAUGAGAUUUUACAACAAGCUCUCCAAGGCUGGCUUCUCUAAACAGGAUUUACUUUAACUGAGGCCACGAGAAAACUGGAAACAGGAGAAAGCCUGGAACCAAAGAAGGUCUUGUGACUUACUGUUUACCUGGAAGCCUGAAGUGUGUGUUAUAGUUUCACCGCACUGAGAGGCCAAGCCUGCAUCUUUCAUCAUACAAAGAGCCUGCUGUGUCCUCCUGGGAUCUAUCAGUGAAGCACAGAGAUUCCCACUUAUUUUUUCCCUUUAGUUUUAUUCUGCCUGUUUGUUGACGUUGCCCAGAGCUUGUGUUCUAACUUUAUUACACCUGGUUGGUGAAGCCACCCUUCAUCUCUAGGAGAAAAUGACAGAAAGAUGUGGAAUCCGCCUCUGGAUGAGAACACAAAGUAGCUCUCAGAAGAAAAAGAAGUGGCCACACACAGAUACAGAGACCCUAAGCAAACAUUUUCCUGUUCUUGCUCAGAAUAGGCCAGGCACACUUUUAAUGAAAGUUCUCUGCAAAAGUUAUUAAUAUCUGAUGCUUGGCUACAUCUUGUUACAUUGUCUGUGCACAUAUCUUGCUACAUUAUCUGUGCCCAUUUUAAGCCUGCAUUCACACACCACUUUCUUCACAGGACCUGCCAUGACCCAGCUUUUUAAAUUGCAAACUUACAC
ensembl:lncRNA LOC102553457 uncharacterized LOC102553457